ACCACUAAGGUCCGCGGGCCUCCGGCAGGCACGCCAGUCAGCACUGGCAGCACAGCUCAGACUCCUGAAAGCAAAGGUUCGAGACUAUUCUUAGAAAAGAGAUGAGGGCUGGGGUGUAACUCAGUAGUAGUGUGAUUGCUUAACUUGCCUGAAGCCCUGGGUUUGAUUCCCCAGCACCCAACAUAAGUGUGGCGCCCAUGCCUGCAAUGCCAGCUCCUGGGGAGGCAGAGGCAGAAGUAGGUCAUCCUGUGCUGCACUGCAAGGUCGCAAGGUCACAAGGUCGAGGCCAGCCAGGGCUUCCCCAGUCCCAGGCUCAGGAAAGUUUAAAGAAAAAUCAACACAACACAGGGGGUUGCAAAGAGUGCUCAGAGGGCAGUGGCAGAAGCCAGGUCCUCUACCCACUGCUCCCUCUUCCCCAGAAUGAGGCCACACCCCUCAGUCUCUCAAGGCCAGCUUCAGAGAGCUGCUGUGACCUCACAGCUCUCAGAGUUCCAUUCUCUCUAAGCCCCCUACAGCGCCAAGCCCAGACACUGAUGCCCAGACAACCUUGACUUAUAACUCCACUUUUAUCUAGUUCCUUCCUGUCUUGUGACUCACACCACAUAGGCUAGCUAGGUCAUGUGAUAUGGAUCUUAUCACCCUCCCCCCAAAAAACUUGUAAAACGCCCCCUUUCUCUCCCUUCAGGGUCCCCAUCAUGCUGUACCUGGUGGCUCUCUUUCCUUAUGCUCUCCUGCUUCAGGCCCCAUCGUGGGAGCCUCUGCUCGUGAGCCUGUAGCUCUCCCUAAUAAAGCUCUAUGAAGGGUGAUUCGCUUCAGCCUGUGUUUGCUAUGACCUUGAUUUUGUCUGUUAUUAUACAGCAGAAAGCUUGUCUCUAAGAGUUACUAGAGGGAACUCAAGGCUCUCUGAAAAAUACCUUUAAAGCCAGACACUGUAGCUGUGCCUGUCAGGUCAGCACUUAGGAGAUGGAGCCAGGAGGAUCAUCAAGACUUCAUGGGUCUCCUCAUCUACAGGCCAGCCUGGGCCACAUGAAUCCCAGCGUCAUAAAAACCAACCUGGAAACUGUCCACCACAAGAAUUUUGAGCAGGGGGCCGUCAGCCAUGAAACCCUUUUGCUGGCGAGUGGCUACACUGUUGACAUCACAACCCUGUCACCUUAGAUUAUUAGCGUCACUUUCACAGCAGCUGCAGAGGACCACCAGGACAGCCAGCCCAGGAAAUCAGCUCUCUUGGCCAGAGACAUGACCCUGGCCAUCCUAAUAGCCAACCUAUGACUGAUGUAACCUUCAUCCUUGAAUGACAGACUGUGUCUUUGAUGUAAUACCCUUGUCAUACACUAUGGUGUAUAAGCUUUCUUUUUUUUUUUUUUUUUAAGUUUUGAGACAAGGUCUGGACUCAAAGCUGGUAUGUAGCCAGGGUUAUGAUUUUUUUAAUGAUUUAUUUCCAUGUGCAUUGUUUUAUCUGUAUGUAUGUCUGCAUGAGGGUGGCAGAUCCCCUGGAAUAGAGCUAAUGACAGUUGUGAGCUGCCAUGUGGGUGCUGGGAAUUGAACCAGCAGCCAGUGCUGUCAAUCUCAGAGCUCUCUCUCCAGCCCCUUGAUUUACAGUUUGAACUCCUGAUGCUCCUGCUUUAACCUCUAGACUGGGGCUGUGGGUGAAUGUCUCCCUGCUUCCUUUUGAUCGACUUAUUUGAAACAGUGUUUCACUUUGUAUCCUAGGCUGCUAGGGAACUCCCAGCAGUAUUCUGCCUCUUCUUCCGGAGUGCUGGGCUUGGUUGGAUGUGUGUCCACUGUCAUCCUUGACUUACUUUCUGUAUCUUAGGUUGUUUUCACAUCUUCCCAAGCUUUCUGGCUUGAGUAGUGCCUCUUACCCCUGCCAGGGUCACUGUUUCUUGGAGUAAAAUUGGUGCCAACCGGGAGCAUGUCUUUCAAAUACAAACCAAUGCAGAAUCUGCAAUGGAAUUAAUUUAUUGUGUAAUCUACAACAAUGGGUUCGCAACUUGUGUUUGAAGCCAGUGCAGCCUAGCCGGCAUAGGGUGCAAUAUAGGAAAUGUUAGCCGCUGGUCUUUUCUAUCAAAUACUGUGAAGCUGAUGACAAAGCUCAGACUUUUUAUAUCCCUCCACCUUGUAAGAUUUUUAUGCAAAUAUUUUAAUCCCUUCCCAACCUGGUAAAACCUUUGUUACACAAAGAAAACUGAUUUAAGAGGC
rnacentral:lncRNA from 1 species